GCAUAUCAAUAAGCGGAGGAAAAGAAACUAACAAGGAUUCCCCUAGUAACUGCGAGUGAAGCGGGAAAAGCUCAAAUUUAAAAUCUGGCGGUCUUUGGCCGUCCGAGUUGUAGUCUGGAGAAGUGCUUUCCGCGCUGGACCGUGUACAAGUCUCUUGGAACAGAGCGUCAUAGAGGGUGAGAAUCCCGUCUUUGACACGGACUACCAGUGCUUUGUGAUGCGCUCUCAAAGAGUCGAGUUGUUUGGGAAUGCAGCUCAAAAUGGGUGGUAAAUUCCAUCUAAAGCUAAAUAUUGGCGAGAGACCGAUAGCGAACAAGUACCGUGAGGGAAAGAUGAAAAGCACUUUGGAAAGAGAGUUAAACAGUACGUGAAAUUGCUGAAAGGGAAACGCUUGAAGUCAGUCGCGUUGAUCAGGACUCAGCCUUGCUUUUGCUUGGUGCAUUUUCUGGUUGACGGGCCAGCAUCGAUUUUGAUCGCCGGAAAAAGGCUGGGGGAAUGUGGCACCUUCGGGUGUGUUAUAGCCUUCAGUCACAUACGGCGGUUGGGAUCGAGGACCGCAGCACGCCUUUAUGGCCGGGGUUCGCCCACGUUCGUGCUUAGGAUGCUGGCGUAAUGGCUUUAAACGACCCGUCUUGAAACACGGACCAAGGAGUCUAACAUGCCUGCGAGUGUUUGGGUGGUAAACCCGAGCGCGUAAUGAAAGUGAAAGUUGAGAUCCCUGUCAUGGGGAGCAUCGACGCCCGGACCUGAACUUCGGUGAUGGCUCUGCGGUAGAGCAUGUAUGUUGGGACCCGAAAGAUGGUGAACUAUGCCUGAAUAGGGUGAAGCCAGAGGAAACUCUGGUGGAGGCUCGUAGCGAUUCUGACGUGCAAAUCGAUCGUCAAAUUUGGGUAUAGGGGCGAAAGACUAAUCGAACCAUCUGGUAGCUGGUUCCUGCCGAAGU
rnacentral:rRNA from 1 species